UGUGGUAUGGCGUGGACUGUGAAACGAUGAAUUUGUGGCUGAAAUCAUGGAGAACAAUCACAGUUUUUGAGGAAUUUAAUAUCAUUUUGACGACUAGUCGAAGUAUUCUUUGGCCAAUUGAUCAUUAUGGUGUUAUUUCUACUCUAAAAUGUGUUGUCCUGAUUUCACCUACAAGUUCAUCAUCGUCUGCAUUGUAUGAUAACCAUACAACGGCCUUCAAAUCUGCUGCGGAAAAUAUUCCCAGCGACUUGCCGUUCAUAUCGGCUACUUCGUAGGAGCUGUUGCCCUUUCUCGCAACCACGACACACGGCUUAUACUGCGGACCUAAUUUGGCGUUGAAGUUUUUGCCGGCCUCCGACAGCACGAAACUCCUCUUGAAAAUUCGUUGUCCGACAGAGAACGUGGCAUCAUCAAUCGCAUCAAUGGGCUGAGAUAUCGUAGGGCGAAUCCCGAAGGCUUGCCAGAAAUCGUAGCCCAGAAUACAACGACGACUCAGACUUGGAGCUACCAGAACUGGUAUGGAACUCACAUUCGCUGCCAGCAUUGCAAUUCUGC